UGCCAGCAGCCGCGGUAAUACGGAGGGUGCAAGCAUUAAUCGGAUUUAUUGGGCGUAAAGAGCGCGUAGGCGGAUUUGAAAGUCAGACGUGAAAUUCCGGGGCUUAACCUCGGAGCUGCGUUUGAAACUUCUUAUCUUGAGGAUAGGCGGAGAAAACGGAAUUCCAUGUGUAGCGGUGAAAUGCGUAGAUAUAUGGAAGAACACCGGUGGCGAAAGCGGUUUUCUAGCUUACUCCUGACGCUGAGGCGCGAGAGCAAGGGGAGCAAACAGGAUUAGAUA
rnacentral:rRNA from 1 species